UACGUAGGGUGCGAGCGUUGUCCGGAAUUAUUGGGCGUAAAGAGUUCUGUAGGCGGUCUGUCGCGUCUGCUGUGAAAAUCCGGGGCUCAACCCCGGACUUGCAGUGGGUACGGGCAGACUAGAGUGUGGUAGGGGAGACUGGAAUUCCUGGUGUAGCGGUGAAAUGCGCAGAUAUCAGGAGGAACACCGGUGGCGAAGGCGGGUCUCUGGGCCGAUACUGACGCUGAGGAGCGAAAGCGUGGGGAGCGAACAGG
rnacentral:rRNA from 1 species